rnacentral:rRNA from 1 species
CAGUAGCCACGGGAAUACGAAGGGUGCAAGCGUUACUCGGAGUUACUGGGCGUAAAGCGUGCGUAGGUGGUGGUUUAAGUCCGUUGUGAAAGCCCUGGGCUCAACCUGGGAAUUGCAGUGGAUACUGGGUCACUAGAGUGUGGUAGAGGAUAGUGGAAUUUCCGGUGUAGCAGUGAAAUGCGUAGAGAUCGGAAGGAACAUCUGUGGCGAAGGCGACUAUCUGGGCCAACACUGACACUGAGGCACGAAAGCGUGGGGAGCAAACAGGAUUAGAUACCCCGGUAGUCCCUGUCUCUUAUAC